rnacentral:rRNA from 1 species
AAGAGACAGCAGUAGCCGCGGGAAUACGGAGGAUCCAAGCGUUAUCCGGAAUCAUUGGGUUUAAAGGGUCCGUAGGCGGUCUUGUAAGUCAGUGGUGAAAGCCCAUCGCUUAACGGUGGAACGGCCAUUGAUACUGCAGGACUUGAAUUAUUGGGAAGUAACUAGAAUAUGUAGUGUAGCGGUGAAAUGCUUAGAGAUUACAUGGAAUACCAAUUGCGAAGGCAGGUUACUACCAAUUGAUUGACGCUGAUGGACGAAAGCGUGGGUAGCGAACAGGAUUAGAUACCCCUGUAGUCCCUGUCUCUUAUAC